UGGGGAAUAUUGCACAAUGGGCGCAAGCCUGAUGCAGCGACGCCGCGUGAGGGAUGACGGCCUUCGGGUUGUAAACCUCUUUCAGCUCCGACGAAGCGCAAGUGACGGUAGGAGCAGAAGAAGCACCGGCCAACUACGUGCUAGCAGCCGCGGUAAUACGUAGGGUGCAAGCGUUGUCCGGAAUUACUGGGCGUAAAGAGCUCGUAGGCGGUUUGUCGCGUCGUCUGUGAAAUUCUGCAGCUUAACUGCAGGCGUGCAGGCGAUACGGGCAGACUUGAGUACUACAGGGGAGACUGGAAUUCCUGGUGUAGCGGUGAAAUGCGCAGAUAUCAGGAGGAACACCGGUGGCGAAGGCGGGUCUCUGGGUAGUAACUGACGCUGAGGAGCGAAAGCGUGGGUAGCGAACAGG
rnacentral:rRNA from 1 species